CCUGCGAGGGGGGUCAUGAGAGCCGGGGGGGAUGAGGGGCUGGCUCUCAGUCCCCGCCUCGCGGGGGGUGCCUCCCCCCCCUGCGAUGGGGGCCCUAAGGGCCAGGGGGGAUGUGGGGCUGGCUCUCAGUCCCUGCCUCGUGGGGGGUGCCUCCCCCCCCUGCGAUGGGGGUCCUGAGUCCACAGUCUACAAUACCCCACAGCUCCCAAGAAUUCCCUCACCUGCCUUCUGCCCUUAGGCUCUGGUAGAUUGUAAAUAACCUGCUUUCUUUCUGUUCCCGGGCGGUGUCGAACCCCUGUCGGAGAGUAAAUCCGAAGUAAGGUACCUGCCGUGGGCAGAUUUGAGCUUUCUUCUUGGACACCUAAUACCCACAGUCCUCCAGGCUCCGGUAGAUUGCAAAUGACCUGCUUUCUUUCUGUUCCCGGCGUUUGGACCCCUGUCGGAUAGUAAAUCCCAAGUAAAGUACCUGCCGUGGGCAGAUUUGAGCUUUCUUCUUGGACACCUAAUACCCAGAGUCGUCCAGGCUCCGGUAGAUUGCAAAUGACCUGCUUUCUUUCUGUUCCCGGCGUUUGGACCCCUGUCGGAUAGUAAAUCCCAAGUAAGGUACCUGCCGUGGGCAGAUUUGAGCUUUCUUCUUGGACACCUAAUACCCAGAGUCCUCCAGGUGGGUCCUUAAGGUUCUUAGGAUCCCCGAUGGGGGUCCUAAGCCAGGGGGGGAUGAGGGGCUGGCUCUCAGUCCCGGCUUCGUGGGGGGUGCCUCCCCCCCCUGCGAUGGGGGCCCUAAGAGCCAGGGGGGAUGUGGGUCUGGCUCUCAGUCCCUGCCUCGUGGGGGGUGCCUCCCCCCCCAUGAUGGGGGUAGUGAGAGCCCGGGGUGAUCAGGGGCUGGCUCUCAGUGCACGCCUCUUGGGGGUGCCUCCCCCCCUGCGAUGGGGUCACUGAGAGCCAGGGGGGAUGUGGGGCUGGCUCUCAGUCCCUGCCUCGUGGGGGGUGCCUCCCCCCCCAUGAUGGGGGUCGUGAGAGCCCGGGGUGAUCAGGGGCUGGCUCUCAGUCCACGCCUCUCGGGGGGUGCCUCCCCCCCUGCGAUGGGGUCACUGAGAUCCAGGGGGAAGAGGGGCUGGCUCUCAGUCCCUGCCUCGUUGGGGGUGCCUCCCCCCCCUGCGAUGGUGGUCAUGAGAGCCGUGGGGGAUGAGGGGCUCGCUCUCAGUCCCCGCCUCGCUGGGGGUGCCUCCCCCCCCUGCCAUGGGGACCCUAAGGGCCAGGGGGGAUGUGGGGCUGGCUCUCAGUCCCUGCCUCGUGGGGGGUGCCUCCCCCUCCUGCGAUGGUGGUCCUAAGAGCCAGAGGGGGAAGAGGGGCUGGCUCUCAGUCCCUGCCUCGUGGGGGGUGCCUCCCCCUCCUGCGAUGGUGGUCCUUAGAGCCAGAGGGGGAAGAGGGGCUGGCUCUCAGUCCCUGCCUCGUUGGGGGUGCCUCCCCCCCCUGCGAUGGGGGUCAUGAGAGCCGGGGGGGAUGAGGGGCUGGCUCUCAGUCCCCGCCUCGCGGGGGGUGCCUCCCCCCCCUGCGAUGGGGGCCCUAAGGGCCAGGGGGGAUGUGGGGCUGGCUCUCAGUCCCUGCCUCGUGGGGGGUGCCUCCCCCCCCGCGAUGGGGGUCCUGAGUCCACAGUCUACAAUACCCCACAGCUCCCAAGAAUUCCCUCACCUGCCUUCUGCCCUUAGGCUCUGGUAGAUUGUAAAUAACCUGCUUUCUUUCUGUUCCCGGGCGGUGUCGAACCCCUGUCGGAGAGUAAAUCCGAAGUAAGGUACCUGCCGUGGGCAGAUUUGAGCUUUCUUCUUGGACACCUAAUACCCACAGUCCUCCAGGCUCCGGUAGAUUGCAAAUGACCUGCUUUCUUUCUGUUCCCGGCGUUUGGACCCCUGUCGGAUAGUAAAUCCCAAGUAAAGUACCUGCCGUGGGCAGAUUUGAGCUUUCUUCUUGGACACCUAAUACCCAGAGUCGUCCAGGUGGGUCCUUAAGGUUCUUAGGAUCCCCGAUGGGGGUCCUAAGCCAGGGGGGGAUGAGGGGCUGGCUCUCAGUCCCGGCUUCGUGGGGGGUGCCUCCCCCCCCUGCGAUGGGGGCCCUAAGAGCCAGGGGGGAUGU